rnacentral:rRNA from 1 species
UACGUAGGGUGCGAGCGUUAAUCGGAAUUACUGGGCGUAAAGCGUGCGCAGGCGGUUCGUUGUGUCGGCGGUAAAAGCCCCGGGCUUAACCUGGGAAUGGCCGUUGAAACUGGCGAACUGGAGUGUGGCAGAGGGGGGUGGAAUUCCGCGUGUAGCAGUGAAAUGCGUAGAGAUGCGGAGGAACACCGAUGGCGAAGGCAGCCCCCUGGGCUGACACUGACGCUCAGGCACGAAAGCGUGGGGAGCAAACAGG